rnacentral:misc_RNA from 1 species
AUCUUCUGAACGACCAAGUCGUCAACAUUCAAGUCAUCACAAAGGUCGUGAUCCUCAGCGAAAUUUAUUUAAUAAAGAUACACAAAGGUAUGAAGAGUUAGAGAAGCAAAGACUUCGUGAGAGAGAGCGACGUGAUAGAGAAACUAACUCAACAACUCGUGUAGAAAGAGUAGGCUUUAGUUCUGCUAAGCGUCAUAAAGAAGACCGUGAUCAAGAAACAAGAGAUGUUACUGGAGAGAUUAGGACGAGUGAUUUGAGAACAAGAACAGGAAAAAAAGCGCGAAGAUCGUAAAGACUCAAAAUCUCAUGAUCAUGUUAGCUCAAGAGAUCAAAUAAAAACUGCACAAAGUCAAGAUGUGGGUAACAGAGUUCUUAUAAGCUCUUUACCUCCCAGUAUGUCUGAACGAAAACUAAGAGCACUUAUGCAAUCUGUUGGAGAAGUAGAAAAUUUAAAACUGUCAACAACGCGACAUAAAGCUUUAGUUGCUUUUACAAAGACUUCCACAG